AUGGGAGAGAAAGUGCACUGGCCGUCUCAUAAACACAUCAAUGUUUACACAAAGGAUUUGAUAAGGCAGAUGAGGGAAAACAAUGUGAACCUGGGGAAGGUGUACAACAUAAUUGGUAGUAGCUUCUUUGGGUCUGUUGAGAAGGUACCGUUCACAAAAAGAACUCUCGGGAAUAUAUGUGGGAAGUUUAGCCGUGAACAAGCCGAGGACGAUGUGCUGAAGACGCUUGAGGUGUUUGCUGACAUCCAUUCCAGCAACCCUGGUUUCACCUAUGUGCUACUGGCCGGCAAGUCGAGCAAGGUGAAAAAUCAUAUGUGGGCUAACGGAAGCAGCCGAAUGCAGUACAUGUUCUUUGGCGAUGUGAUAAAAUUUGACACUACAUACAGGAGAAACUUGUAUGACAUGCCAUUUGGGUCAUUUGUGGGAGUUAACAAUCACUAUCAAAGCAUUAUCCUAGCAGGGGUGUUGAUGUGUGAUGAGCAAGAAGAGAGCUUCGAAUGGGUGUUUGCAUAA
rnacentral:rRNA from 1 species